ACUAAAAAUAAUGGACAAACCUUCCGGGUCUGAAAAGUAAAAGCAUUACGGAAGUGCAUUAAACCUGCAUUCUAUCUAAUUUCCAGCAGGGGCCAACUCCACUGGUUGCCAAAAGAAUCUAUGAGAAAAUGA